rnacentral:rRNA from 1 species
CUCGCAAGAGUGAACUAGCUAACUGGAAUCUUUCUUUAUAAGGAGAUAAGGUAAGGGAAAAUAAUGAUACUACCUUACUAUUAGUGUUGUCCAAAUCUGGUGCCAGAAGACUCGGUAAGGCCAGAAACGCGAACGUUAGUCAUCCUAAACAGGCGUAAAGGGUGUGUAGGCAGCUUCAUAUGAUUUUUAAUUAUAUAGCUCAUUUUACCUAAAUUUUUUAGGUUUGAAUUCAAAAUAGGCUGAAGCUAGAAUCUAAAAGGGGUUAAAAUAUAUAAUACUUAGAGUAGAGUUCUAAUUCAUAUAUACUAAGUAGAAUACUAAAAGCGAAGGCAUUUUUCCACUAAAGAUUGACGCUGAUAUACGAAGGUGGGGAUAGGAAAUAGGCUUAGAGACCCAUGAACCCCUCACUGUAAACGAUGAAUGGUAGUGAUCAGUUUUUUUAAAUUGAUUUCGAGGCUAACGCGAUGACCAUUCCGCCUUGUGAGUACGAUUCCCAAAUUGAAAACCAAAAAAUUAGUCGGUCUCGGAGCACNNCGAAGUGAAGCAU